rnacentral:rRNA from 1 species
AGUGGCGGACGGGUGAGUAACGCGUGAGAAUCUGCCUUCAGGUCGGGGACAACAGAGGGAAACUUCUGCUAAUCCCGGAUGAGCCUUAGGGUAAAAAAUUUAUUGCCUGGAGAUGAGCUCGCGUCUGAUUAGCUAGUUGGUAAGGUAAAAGCUUACCAAGGCAACGAUCAGUAGCUGGUCUGAGAGGAUGAGCAGCCACACUGGGACUGAGACACGGCCCAGACUCCUACGGGAGGCAGCAGUGGGGAAUUUUCCGCAAUGGGCGAAAGCCUGACGGAGCAAGACCGCGUGGGGGAGGAAGGCUCUAGGGUUGUAAACCCCUUUUCUUUGGGAAGAACAAAAUGACGGUACCAAAGGAAUCAGCCUCGGCUAACUCCGUGCCAGCAGCCGCGGUAAUACGGAGGAGGCAAGCGUUAUCCUGAAUGAUUGGGCGUAAAGCGUCCGCAGGUGGCAAUGUAAGUCUGCUGUCAAAACCCAGGGCUCAACUCUGGUCAGGCAGUGGAAACUACAUAGCUAGAGUUCGGUAGGGGCAAAGGGAAUUCCCGGUGUAGCGGUGAAAUGCGUAGAGAUCGGGAAGAACAUCGGUGGCGAAAGCGCUUUGCUAGACCGAAACUGACACUCAGGGACGAAAGCUAGGGGAGCGAAUGGGAUUAGAUACCCC